GCCCUUUUCAUUGUCGCCUUAGAGGCUUAUAUCGAGCGUGCUGGUUUUCCAGCUACGGCAAUAAAUGGUCAGUGAAAUAAACCUAUCGGACCCGGGGGCGGUAC
rnacentral:tmRNA from 1 species